UACGUAGGUGGCAAGCGUUGUCCGGAAUUAUUGGGCGUAAAGCGCGCGCAGGCGGUCCUUUACGUCUGAUGUGAAAGCCCACGGCUCAACCGUGGAGGGUCAUUGGAAACUGGGGGACUUGAGUGCAGAAGAGGAGAGUGGAAUUCCACGUGUAGCGGUGAAAUGCGUAGAGAUGUGGAGGAACACCAGUGGCGAAGGCGACUCUCUGGUCUGUAACUGACGCUGAGGCGCGAAAGCGUGGGGAGCAAACAGG
rnacentral:rRNA from 1 species